rnacentral:rRNA from 1 species
UACGUAGGGUGCAAGCGUUAAUCGGAAUUACUGGGCGUAAAGCGUGCGCAGGCGGUUUUGUAAGUCUGUCGUGAAAGCCCCGGGCUCAACCUGGGAAUUGCGAUGGAGACUGCAAGGCUUGAAUCUGGCAGAGGGGGGUAGAAUUCCUGGUGUAGCAGUGAAAUGCGUAGAUAUCAGGAGGAAUACCGAUGGCGAAGGCAGGUCUCUGGGCUGACACUGACGCUCAUGCACGAAAGCGUGGGGAGCAAACAGG